GGCUCAGGACGAACGCUGGCGGCGUGCUUAACACAUGCAAGUCGAACGAGAAUCUGUGGAAAGAGGUUUCGGCCAAUGGAAGCAGAGGAAAGUGGCGGACGGGUGAGUAACGCGUGAGGAACCUGCCUUUCAGAGGGGGACAACAGUUGGAAACGACUGCUAAUACCGCAUGAUGCAUAGGGGUCGCAUGGCUCUUAUGCCAAAGAUUUAUCGCUGAAAGAUGGCCUCGCGUCUGAUUAGCUGGUUGGUGAGGUAACGGCCCACCAAGGCGACGAUCAGUAGCCGGACUGAGAGGUUGAACGGCCACAUUGGGACUGAGAUACGGCCCAGACUCCUACGGGAGGCAGCAGUGGGGAAUAUUGGGCAAUGGGCGCAAACGCCUGACCCAGCAACGCCGCGUGAAGGAAGAAGGCUUUCGGGUUGUAAACUUCUUUGUCGGGGACGAGUAGAAGACGGUACCUGACGAAUAAGCCACGGCUAACUACGUGCCAGCAGCCGC
rnacentral:rRNA from 1 species